rnacentral:rRNA from 1 species
CAAUAGCGUAUACUAAAGUUGUUGCAGUUAAAAAGCUCGUAGUUGAAUUUCUGGUCGUGAAAAGUGGUCCGUUCCGCAAGGAAUGUGUACUGUCUAUUCAUGUCCAUCCUCGGAGUUAGUUUGUAUUACUUUAAUCGGUCGUGCAUACAAUACUUCGUCAUUUACUGUGAGCAAAUUAGAGUGUUCAAAGCAGGCUUAUGCCUUGGAUAUGUUAGCAUGGAAUAAUAAGAUAAGACUUUGGCGGUCUAUUUUGUUGGUUUGCACGCCAUUGUAAUGAUUGAUAGGGACAGUUGGGGGUAUUCAUAUUUAAUUGUCAGAGGUGAAAUUCUUGGAUUUAUGAAAGAUGAACUACUGCGAAAGCAUUUACCAAGGAUGUUUUCAUUAAUCAAGAACGAAAGUUAGGGGAUCGAAGACGAUUAGAUACCGU